AAAAUUUUUAAAUAAAAUGAUUUAAUGGGGGUUAAAGUAAUUUUAUUGAAAAAAUUAAUUAAUUUAUAGUGAAUUAGUAUUGUAAAAGAAAUUUGAAAUAGUUGAAAAAUAAAUUAUUUAUAAGUAAUUUUAGUUUAAUGUAUCUUGUGUAUCAGAGUUUAUUAAAAAAAUUUUUAAAUUUAAUAAUUCUCGAAUUUAAAAGAGAUAAUUAAUUAAUAAAGUUAUUGUUGCAUAAAUAUUUUUAAUAAUUAAUUGGAAAUGAUAUGUUAAUCGUUUUUAAAUAUAUCUAGUUUUUUUAGAAAAAAAUUUAAUUUUAAAUUUUAUUAAGAGAAAAUUAAUUAAUUAAUUUUCUCUUAAUAAAAUUUUAUAUUUUAGGGGAUAAGCUUUAAAAUAAAUUUAUAUAAUAUUAAUUAAAAUUUAUUGAAAAUUAUAUAAUUUAUAUUGUUAAAAAUUUUUAAUUUAUUAUAAAUAAUUUCAAUUAAAAAUAAAAUUUAAUAAAAAUUUAUUUUUUUUUUAUAAAAAAAAAAAUUAUAAUAUAAAAAAUUUUAAUAUAAUGAUAAAAUUAGUAUAUUAAUUUAAUUAGAUUAUAAUUUAUUAAAAAUAAAUUAAUUAAAAGGAAUUCGACAAAUUUUUAUAUUCACUUGUUUAUCAAAAACAUGUCUUUUUGAAUUUAAUAUAAAGUCUAAUCUGCCCACUGAUUUUAAUUAAAGGGCUGCAGUAAUUUGACUGUACAAAGGUAGCAUAAUCAGUAGUCAUUUAAUUGAUGACUUGUAUGAAGGAUUGGAUGAAAUAUAUAUUGUCUCUUAGUUAAAUAUAGAAUUUAAUUUUUUAAUUAAAAAGUUAAAAUAAUUUAAAAAGACGAGAAGACCCUAUAGAGUUUAAUAAAUAAAUUAUUUAAGAUUAUUUAUAAAUAUAAGUUUAUUUAAAUUAAGAUUAAUUUAUUUAUUUUGUUGGGGUGACAGAAAAAUAUAAAUAACUUUUUUUAAAAAUUUAACAUAUAUAAAUGAUUAAUUGAUCCAAUUUUAUUGAUUAUAAGAAAAAAUUACCUUAGGGAUAACAGCGUAAUUUUUUUUUUUAGUUCAAAUAAAAAAAAGAGUUUGCGACCUCGAUGUUGGAUUAAGAUAAAAUAUAAAUGCAGAAGUUUAAAAUUUUUGAUCUGUUCGAUCAUUAAAAUCUUACAUGAUCUGAGUUCAAACCGGUGUAAGCCAGGUUGGUUUCUAUCUUUUAAAAAUUAAAAUAUUUUAGUACGAAAGGAUUAAAUAUUUAAAUUAAAUUUAUUAUUUUUUUUUUGAAUAUUAUUAAAAAUUAUU
rnacentral:rRNA from 1 species